AAUGUAUCUUACUUUACUCAUGGAUCUGCGAAAACAUUUGACAUAAAUAUAAAGGGAAAUCGCUCAUUCAGAGGAUUAAAUGUUCUGCUAGAAUUUAAAUUAUUUAAUAUCAGUUACAGAUAAACAUACCUAUAAUAUUUUAACAUUAAAUUUUAGACACAUUUAACAAAAAUCGUCAACGGUGCCAUACCAAGUUAACGCCACAGGUUAUUUAAGCAAAUGAUCCGUGGGCGAAAUCAAGCUCAGACUGAACUCACAGAUCUCUACAUGGCGUGUCCUUUAACUCGAACUCAAGAAUGAAAACAUAUUCUCUGUUAGAAAUAGAGCCCCACUAGUGUCUUAACUCUUCAUUUUGUAUAUAUAGGCAAAAGAUCUGUUGAAUGUAGUCAAAGAAAUAGUCACAGAUAUUUUUCAAUCCUUUGAUGAAACAAAUUCAAUGAACAUCAACUACAUGUAUAACGUUUUAUUCCCUGAGGUUUGUUUGUCUAACGCCAAAUUCCAAGUCGUUCUUUUGUUGUGAAAGCUAUGUGACAGUGAAACUAUGAUAUUUUAUUUAAGCCUGCAUAUAUUGUAUACGAAAAACUGAGCGUUGUCUCCGAAAUAACUCUGAAAAAAUUUAUAAUUGUGCGAGUGGAGUUCAAGACGUUGCAGACUUUGAAAGUGACUAACCUUGUUGUCUACCGAAGUACCUGAAAGCUGUAGUGGAUAUUGUAAAAAUUUGAGGUGACUUGACAAUGUAUCAUACUGAUUUACUCUUAUGACUCAAUGUCGUCUAAACAUACUAUUGACGAUGAACUAGCGUUGUUUUUAGUUUAGGUUUACUGAAUAAGAUUUUCUUUUUAGCUAAGUUCUAUUACUUUUUAAAAAAAUAAUGAAUUCUUGUACAGGAAACAAUUAUACUUCAAUUUUGUCUAUAGUUAAAA